GGGGCCCGCACAAGCAGUGGAGUAUGUGGUUUAAUUCGAAGCAACGCGAAGAACCUUACCAGGGCUUGACAUCCCUUGAAGCAGCUAGAGAUAGCUGUGUCCUUCGGGGACAAGGAGACAGGUGGUGCAUGGUUGUCGUCAGCUCGUGUCGUGAGAUGUUGGGUUAAGUCCCGCAACGAGCGCAACCCCUGUGGUUAGUUGCCAGCAAGUAGCGUUGGGCACUCUAGCCAGACUGCCGGUGAUAAAUCGGAGGAAGGUGGGGACGACGUCAAAUCAUCAUGCCCUUUAUGUCCUGGGCUACACACGUACUACAAUGGCCGUUACAACGGGAAGCGAAGGAGCAAUCCGGAGCAAAUCCCUUAAAGGCGGUCCCAGUUCAGAUUGUGGGCUGAAACUCGCCCACAUGAAGGCGGAAUUGCUAGUAAUUGCAGAUCAGCAUGCUGCAGUGAAUACGUUCCCGGGCCUU
rnacentral:rRNA from 1 species